GUUCCAGUGGCGCAAUCGGUUAGCGCGCGGUACUUAUAAUGCCGAGGUUGUGAGUUCGAGCCUCACCUGGAGCA
rnacentral:tRNA from 1 species